rnacentral:rRNA from 1 species
CUGGAAACAGAGAAGUGCUUUAGCAAUAGGAACCCGGUGACAGGUGCUGCAUGGCUGUCGUCAGCUCGUGUCGUGAGAUGUUGGGUUAAGUCCCGCAACGAGCGCAACCCUCGCCUUUAGUUGCCAGCAUUCAGUUGGGGCACUCUAGAGGGACUGCCGGUGUCAAACCGGAGGAAGGUGGGGAUGACGUCAAGUCCUCAUGGCCUUUAUGUCUAGGGCUACACACGUACUACAAUGGCCGGUACAAAGGGCAGCCACUCAGCGAUGAGGCGCUAAUCCCAUAAAGCCGGUCUCAGUCCGGAUCGCAGUCUGCAACUCGACUGCGUGAAGUUGGAAUCGCUAGUAAUCGUAGAUCAGCAUGCUACGGUGAAUACGUUCCCGGGCCUU